AUUGGAUGAGCCCGCGGCCUAUCAGCUUGUUGGUGGGGUAACGGCCCACCAAGGCGACGACGGGUAGCCGGCCUGAGAGGGCGACCGGCCACACUGGGACUGAGACACGGCCCAGACUCCUACGGGAGGCAGCAGUGGGGAAUAUUGCGCAAUGGGCGAAAGCCUGACGCAGCGACGCAGCGUGAGGGACGAAGGCCUUCGGGUUGUAAACCUCUUUCAGCGGGGACGAAGCGAAAGUGACGGUACCCGCAGAAGAAGCACCGGCUAACUACGUGCCAGCAGCCGCGGCCGAAU
rnacentral:rRNA from 1 species